rnacentral:rRNA from 1 species
GAUGAACGCUGGCGGCGUGCCUAAUACAUGCAAGUCGAGCGAAUGGAUUAAGAGCUUGCUCUUAUGAAGUUAGCGGCGGACGGGUGAGUAACACGUGAGUAACCUGCCCAUAAGACUGGGAUAACUCCGGGAAACCGGGGCUAAUACCAGAUAACAUUUUGAACCGCAUGGUUCGAAAUUGAAAGGCGGCUUCGGCUGUCCCUUAUGGAUGGACCCGCGUCGCAUUAGCUAGUUGGUGAGGUAACGGCUCACCAAGGCAACGAUGCGUAGCCGACCUGAGAGGGUGAUCGGCCACACUGGGACUGAGACACGGCCCAGACUCCUACGGGAGGCAGCAGUAGGGAAUCUUCCGCAAUGGACGAAAGUCUGACGGAGCAACGCCGCGUGAGUGAUGAAGGCUUUCGGGUCGUAAAACUCUGUUGUUAGGGAAGAACAAGUGCUAGUUGAAUAAGCUGGCACCUUGACGGUACCUAACCAGAAAGCCACGGCUAACUACGUGCCAGCCGCCGCGGUAA